rnacentral:rRNA from 1 species
AUUGAACGCUGGCGGCAUGCCUUACACAUGCAAGUCGAACGGUAACGGGCCUUCGGGUGCCGCCGAGUGGCGAACGGGUGAGUAAUACAUCGGAACGUGCCCGAUCGUGGGGGGUAACGAGGCGAAAGCUUUGCUAAUACCGCAUACGAUCUACGGAUGAAAGCCGGGGACCGCAAGGCCUUGCGCGGACGGAGCGGCCGAUGGCAGAUUAGGUAGUUGGUGGGAUAAAAGCUUACCAAGCCGACGAUCUGUAGCUGGUCUGAGAGGAUGAUCAGCCACACUGGGACUGAGACACGGCCCAGACUCCUACGGGAGGCAGCAGUGGGGAAUUUUGGACAAUGGGCGCAAGCCUGAUCCAGCCAUGCCGCGUGCAGGAUGAAGGCCUUCGGGUUGUAAACUGCUUUUGUAAGGAACGAAAAGCCUUCUUUUAAUACAGGAGGGUCAUGACGGUACCGUAAGAAUAAGCACCGGCUAACUACGUG